UACGAAGGGGGCUAGCGUUGUUCGGAAUUACUGGGCGUAAAGCGCGUGUAGGCGGCAAUGCAAGUCGGGCGUGAAAUUCCCGGGCUCAACCUGAGGGCUGCGCUUGAUACUGGUGAGCUUGAAUGCGGGAGAGGAUAGUGGAAUUCCCAGUGUAGAGGUGAAAUUCGUAGAUAUUGGGAAGAACACCGGUGGCGAAGGCGGCUAUCUGGCCCGUAAUUGACGCUGAGGCGCGAAAGCGUGGGGAGCAAACAGG
rnacentral:rRNA from 1 species